UACGUAGGGGGCAAGCGUUGUCCGGAUUUAUUGGGCGUAAAGAGCGUGUAGGCGGCUAGGUAGGUCCGUUGUGAAAACUCGAGGCUCAACCUCGAGACGCCGGUGGAAACCAUCUAGCUAGAGUCCGGAAGAGGAGAGUGGAAUUCCUGGUGUAGCGGUGAAAUGCGCAGAUAUCAGGAAGAACACCCGUGGCGAAGGCGGCUCUCUGGACAGUUCCUGACACUGAGGCACGAAGGCCAGGGGAGCAAACGGG
rnacentral:rRNA from 1 species